GUUAUGAUUGAAUGGAAGGAACCCAGGUGCAGACAACAAAGGUUGAAUUAAAGCAGAGGUUUAUUGUAGGGAGGAUGACAUCAGUAGGGAACAAACAGGAGGGGGACGUUCGGGGAUGGACUAUAGGCAGGCAGGGCUGCAGGCAGGUGGAGGAGCACACAGGGUGGAUGGCGGGCAGGUAGAGGAGCACACAGGGUGGAUGGCGGGCAGGUAGAGGAGCACACAGGGUGGAUGGCGGGCAGGUAGAGGAGCACACAGGGUGGAUGGCGGGCGGGUAGAGGAGCACACAGGGUGGAUGGCGGGCGGGUAGAGGAGCACACAGGGUGGAUGGCGGGCGGGUAGAGGAGCCAGGCCCGCCGCUCCCUAUACGAAGAGUACGUGCGUAGGGCACCAAGUA
ensembl:lncRNA